ACAUGCAAGUCGAGCGGCAGCGACAAUAAAGAUUCUUCGGAUGAUUUAUUGGGCGGCGAGCGGCGGACGGGUGAGUAAUGGCUGGGAACCUGCCUGGUAGAGGGGGAUAACCACUGGAAACGGUGGCUAAUACCGCAUGAUGUCUUUGGACCAAAGAGGGGGACCUUAGGGCCUCUCGCUACCGGAUGGGCCCAGUUGGGAUUAGCUAGUUGGUGGGGUAAAGGCUCACCAAGGCGACGAUCCCUAGCUGGUUUGAGAGGAUGAUCAGCCACACUGGAACUGAGACACGGUCCAGACUCCUACGGGAGGCAGCAGUGGGGAAUAUUGCACAAUGGGCGCAAGCCUGAUGCAGCCAUGCCGCGUGUGUGAAGAAGGCCUUCGGGUUGUAAAGCACUUUCAGCCGUGAGGAAGGCAUUGUACUUAAUACGUGCAGUGUUUGACGUUAGCGGCAGAAGAAGCACCGGCUAACUCCGUGCCAGCAGCCGCGGUAAUACGGAGGGUGCGAGCGUUAAUCGGAAUUACUGGGCGUAAAGCGCAUGCAGGCGGUCUGUUAAGCAAGAUGUGAAAGCCCCGGGCUUAACCUGGGAAAGUCAUUUUGAACUGGCAGGCUAGAGUCUUGUAGAGGGGGGUAGAAUUUCAGGUGUAGCGGUGAAAUGCGUAGAGAUCUGAAGGAAUACCGGUGGCGAAGGCGGCCCCCUGGACAAAGACUGACGCUCAGAUGCGAAAGCGUGGGGAGCAAACAGGAUUAGAUACCCUGGUAGUCCACGCCGUAAACGAUGUCUACUUGGAGGCUGUAGUCUAGAACUGUGGCUUUCGGAGCUAACGCGUUAAGUAGACCGCCUGGGGAGUACGGUCGCAAGAUUAAAACUCAAAUGAAUUGACGGGGGCCCGCACAAGCGGUGGAGCAUGUGGUUUAAUUCGAUGCAACGCGAAGAACCUUACCUACUCUUGACAUCCACAGAAGCCGGAAGAGAUUCUGGUGUGCCUUCGGGAACUGUGAGACAGGUGCUGCAUGGCUGUCGUCAGCUCGUGUUGUGAAAUGUUGGGUUAAGUCCCGCAACGAGCGCAACCCUUAUCCUUGUUUGCCAG
rnacentral:rRNA from 1 species